rnacentral:piRNA from 1 species
UGAUGCUGUCCCCCUUUGUUCCUGCAGC